rnacentral:SRP_RNA from 1 species
GAACCACGUCAGGUCCGGAAGGAAGCAGCGUUAAGCGCUGCUCGCCGGGUGCCGCGGAUCGGCCUGAUCCGAGCCGAUCACCUCGUUGGGCCCAUGAGCGUCCUCGGUCGACAGAGGGUGCACGG